rnacentral:rRNA from 1 species
GACGAACGCUGGCGGCGUGCUUAACACAUGCAAGUCGAACGGAAAGGCCCUGCUUUUGUGGGGUGCUCGAGUGGCGAACGGGUGAGUAACACGUGAGUAACCUGCCCUUGACUUUGGGAUAACUUCAGGAAACUGGGGCUAAUACCGGAUAGGAGCUCCUGCUGCAUGGUGGGGGUCGGAAAGUUUCGGCGGUUGGGGAUGGACUCGCGGCUUAUCAGCUUGUUGGUGGGGUAGUGGCUUACCAAGGCUUUGACGGGUAGCCGGCCUGGGAGGGUGACCGGCCACAUUGGGACUGAGAUACGGCCCAGACUCCUACGGGAGGCAGCAGUGGGGAAUAUUGCACAAUGGGCGGAAGCCUGAUGCAGCAACGCCGCGUGCGGGAUGACGGCCUUCGGGUUGUAAACCGCUUUCGCCUGUGACGAAGCGUGAGUGACGGUAAUGGGUAAAGAAGCACCGGCUAACUACGUG